GAGGCCGAGGCGGGCGGAUCACGAGCCUUCAGACCUGAGCUGAAAUCUACACCACCGGCUCUCUGACUAUCAGGCUUUGGACUAUACUUUGGGCUUUCCUGGGUCUCUUACCUGGCAGACAGCAGAUUUUGGAACUUUUCAGCCUCCAUAAUCAUUUCCCAGAAGAACCACAAAGCAUAAAUUUCCCCAAAAGGGGAAUUUUGUUGAUGGCUUUAGUCUAUUCCCUCCUAAAAGACCAGCUACAACCAAAUGAAGUGAACAUAACCUCAAGGGUGUAUUGUCUUCAUAAUAAAAGAUGAAGCUUAGAACUGGA